rnacentral:rRNA from 1 species
AUACGGAGGGUGCAAGCGUUAUUCGGAAUCACUGGGCGUAAAGGACGCGUAGGCGGGUUGGCAAGUCAGAUGUGAAAUCCUACAGCUUAACCGUAGAACUGCAUUUGAAACUGCUAACCUAGAGUAUGGGAGGGGGAGAUGGAAUUAGUGGUGUAGGGGUAAAAUCCGUAGAUAUCACUAGGAAUACCGAAAGCGAAGGCGAUCUCCUGGAACAUAACUGACGCUAAGGCGUGAAAGCGUGGGGAGCAAACAGGAUUAGAAACCCUAGUAGUCC